GACGAACGCUGGCGGCGUGCUUAACACAUGCAAGUCGAACGGAAAGGCGCUUCUUUGUUCGGAUGCUCGAGUGGCGAGCGGGUGAUUAACCCGUGAGUAACCUGCCCUUGACUUUAGGAUAACGUAAGCAAACUUGGUAUAAUACCGGAUAUGAGCUUGUGCUCGAUGGAGGGGGUUGGAAAGUUUCGGCGGGCGGGGUUGGACUCGCGGCUUAUCGACUUGCUAGUUGGUUAGGGGAUUACCAACGCAUUGACGGGUAGCCGGCAGGUGAGGGUGACCGGCCACAUGGGGACUGAGGUAGGGACCAGACUCGUACGGUGGGCAGCAGUCGCGAAUAUUGCACAAUAGGCGGAAGCCUGAGACAGCAACGUCGCGGGUGUGAUGACGGCCUUGCGGUUGUAAACCGCUUUCGGCUGUUACCAAGCGUGAGUGACGGUAAUUGCAAAAGAAGCACCGGCUAACUACGUG
rnacentral:rRNA from 1 species